rnacentral:rRNA from 1 species
GAAGAUUCCGUAGGUGAACCUGCGGAUAUGCAUAUCAAUAAGCGGAGGAAGAUUCCGUAGGUGAACCGGAGGAAUAUGCUAGUCACUACGCGGAACAACGUUUCUCUUGGUUCUGGCAUCGAUGAAGAACGCAGCGAAAUGCGAUAAGUAGUGUGAAUUGCAGAAUUCAGUGAAUCAUCGAAUCUUUGAACGCACAUUGCGCCCCUUGGUAUUCCAUGGGGCAUGCCUGUUCGAGCGUCAUUUGUACCUUCAAGCUCUGCUUGGUGUUGGGUGUUUGUCUCGCCUCUGCGUGUAGACUCGCCUUAAAACAAUUGGCAGCCGGCGUAUUGAUUUCGGAGCGCAGUACAUCUCGCGCUUUGCACUCAUAACGACCGACGUCCCAAAAGUACAUUUUUUACACUCCUUGACCUCGGAAUCAGGUAGGGGAUACCCCGCUGAACUUAAGCAUAU